GAUGAACGCUGGCGGCGUGCUUAACACAUGCAAGUCGAACGAAGGGGCGCACGGGAGAGUAACGCGUAAUCCACCUGCCCUUCAGAGGGAUAACUCAGUUGGAAACGACUGCUAAUACCGCAUACUGAAGGAGGGGUAUGCGUUUGAUUAGCUAGUUGGAGGCGUAACGGCCAACCAAGGCGAUGAUCAGUAGCCGGUCUGAGAGGGUGAACGGCCACAUUGGGACUGAGACACGGCCCAGACUCCUACGGGAGGCAGCAGUGGGGAAUAUUGCAAAAUGGGCGCAAGCCUGAUGCAGCCAUGCCGCGUGUGUGAAGAAGGCCCUAGGGUUGUAAAGUACUGUCAGUCGGGAGCGGUACCGACAGAAGAAGCACCGGCUAACUCCGUGCCAGCAGCCGCGGUAAUUC
rnacentral:rRNA from 1 species